rnacentral:rRNA from 1 species
CACGUAGGGUGCAAGCGUUGUCCGGAAUUAUUGGGCGUAAAGAGCUCGUAGGCGGCUUGUCGCGUCGACCGUGAAAACUUGGGGCUCAACCCCAAGCCUGCGGUCGAUACGGGCAGGCUCGAGUUCGGUAGGGGAGACUGGAAUUCCUGGUGUAGCGGUGAAAUGCGCAGAUAUCAGGAGGAACACCGAUGGCGAAGGCAGGUCUCUGGGCCGAUACUGACGCUGAGGAGCGAAAGCGUGGGGAGCGAACAGG